UCAGAGAAGAGACAUCAGGUGCUUGAACUGGUCUGCUCCUUCCUUUUCCACCCCACGUCAGAGACAGCACUCAGCUGGGCCUUCUAUAAUUGGGUUUUGAGCAGCCCUAGUCUCAAGACUGCUAUAAGAUCCUUGCUUCUCCCUGUAAGCCCCAGUUAAAGCUUCUGUCCAGCUGUCCUGGCCAAGGGCACUUGGACUAAAGACUGGGACUGUUUACAGCUUGAUCCAACUAGUGUGCUCCUGGCAAGAUUGCUGGCUGCCAUGAAGCCCUGUCUCAUCUUAACUCUCCUAAGCAUAGCUGGAGUUGUUCUGGCCAGAGAUUCUAAAGAUGAUGACCUGAACUUACCAGAAGAUUUUACUAUUCCUUACAUGGUCUAUCUGCAGUCCAGUUCAGAACCCUGUGUGGGAUCUCUCAUUCACCCUCAAUGGGUACUGACGGCUGCCCACUGCCCCUUACCUGUCAAAAUCCGACUGGGAGUCUAUCAACCCAGCGUCAGAAAUAAGAAAGAGCAGAUACGGAAUUACUCACAGAUUAUCCCCGCCCCUGAGUUCAAGGCACAGUCACUGGAGAAUGACCUGAUGCUGAUAAAACUCUCCAAGGCUGCUGUACUCAACUCCCAUGUGGGGACCAUAGCCAUAUCUAUGGAGCCCUUAGCACUUAAUGAUUCCUGCUUUAUCCCAACCUGGACUUGGAAUGAAUACAAAA